rnacentral:misc_RNA from 1 species
CAGGCCUCCCUCUGCUUGGUUCCAGUCGUGGUCAUGAGUGAGGGGCGAUGCUUGAUGGCUUUGAUGCCAUCGGUGGGAAUGCGUUUAAGCAUCGACCUUCCCUUAUGCCCACGAUGGUCUACAGUCUUGGGUAUGAGUCAGUGACGAUGCUUGUUUGUUUUGAUGCUUGCGAAUGAACCUGCUUGAGCAACCGACCCGAUGAAGUAUCAAUGAAUGUCGCCCACGAUGGUCUACAGUCUUGGGUAUGAGUCAGUGACGAUGCUUGUUUGUUUUGAUGCUUGCGUUUGAACUUGCUUAAGCAACCGACCCGACGAAGUACCCGUGAAUGUCGCCUACGAUGGUCUACAGUCUUGGGUAUGAGUCAGUGACGAUGCUUGUUUGUUUUGAUGCUUGCGUUUGAACUUGCUUAAGCAACCGAUCCGACGAAGUACCCAUGAAUGUCGCCCACGAUGGUCUACAGUCUUGGGUAUGAGUCAGUGACGAUGCUUGUUUGUUUUGAUGCUUGCGUUUGAACUUGCUUAAGCAACCGAACCGACGAAGUACCCGUGAAUGUCGCCCACGAUGGUCUACAGUCUUGGGUAUGAGUCAGUGACGAUGCUUGUUUGUUUUGAUGCUUGCGUUUGAACUUGCUUAAGCAACCGACCCGACGAAGUACCCGUGAAUGUCGCCCACGAUGGUCUACAGUCAUGGGUAUGAGUCAGUGACGAUGCUUGUUUGUUUUGAUGCUUGCGUUUGAACUUGCUUAAGCAACCGACCUGACGAAGUACCCGUGAAUGUUUUUUUGUUCCUGCGGUAACGACUUUGUUGGGAUCAUUGUGAUCAAGUUUGGUUGGUUUCGUAUUGUGGUGGGUUUUUUCGAAGCUUCUGUCGUUUUUUUACGCAUCGUGCGGUGCAUCUUGGGGGCUGUUUUGGCUUUUGGUUGCUUGCUUGGGCUUUAUGCUAGGCGGGUGGCUAAU